UCGGCAUACUGCUCAGUAACACGUGGAUAACCUGCCCUGUGCUCCGGGAUAACCUCGGGAAACUGAGAAUAAUACCGGAUAGUCCACCACGCCUGGAACGGUGGGUGGAUCAAAGGUCACGGCACAGGAUGGGUCUGCGGCGUAUCAGGUUGUAGGGGGUGUAAAGGACCCCCUAGCCAUUGACGCGUACGGGUUGUGGGAGCAAUCGCCCGGAGAUGGAAUCUGAGACACGAAUCCAGACCCUACGGGGUGCAGCAGGCGCGAAAACUUCACACUGCAGGAAACUGUGAUGAGGGGACUCCAAGUGCAUGCACAAUGUGUAUGCUUUUCCUAACUUUUAAUCGGUUAGGGAAUAAGGGCUGGGAAAGACCGGUGCCAGCCGCCGCGGUAAUACCGGCAGCUCAAGUGGUCGUCGCUUUUAUUGGGCCUAAAACGUCCGUAGCCUGUUUGGUAAAUCUGUGGGUAAAUCAACCAGCUUAACUGGUUGAAUU
rnacentral:rRNA from 1 species